UGCGCUAUCAGAUGAGCCUAGGUCGGAUUAGCUAGUUGGUGAGGUAAUGGCUCACCAAGGCGACGAUCCGUAACUGGUCUGGGAGGAUGAUCAGUCACACUGGAAGGGAGACACGGUCCAGACUCCUACGGGAGGCAGCAGUGGGGAAUAUUGGACAAUGGGCGAAAGCCUGAUCUAUAGAGGCCGCGUGUGUGAAGAAGGUCUUCGGAUGUACAUUUAUGGGAGUUGGAGGAAGGGCAGUUACCUAAUACGUGA
rnacentral:rRNA from 1 species